GUGCUUGCUUUGGCAGCACAUAUACCAAAAUUGGAACGAUACAGAGAAGAUUAGCACGGCCCCUGCACAAGGAUCACACGCAAAUUUGUGAGGUAAAUUU
ensembl:snRNA U6 U6 spliceosomal RNA